rnacentral:rRNA from 1 species
AGGGUUCGAUUCUGGCUCAGGAUGAACGCUGGCGGCGUGCUUAACACAUGCAAGUCGAACGGGAUCCAUCAGGCUUUGCUUGGUGGUGAGAGUGGCGAACGGGUGAGUAAUGCGUGACCGACCUGCCCCAUACACCGGAAUAGCUCCUGGAAACGGGUGGUAAUGCCGGAUGCUCCGACUCCUCGCAUGGGGUGUCGGGAAAGAUUAUAUCGGUAUGGGAUGGGGUCGCGUCCUAUCAGGUAGUCGGCGGGGUAACGGCCCACCGAGCCUACGACGGGUAGCCGGCCUGAGAGGGCGACCGGCCACAUUGGGACUGAGAUACGGCCCAGACUCCUACGGGAGGCAGCAGUGGGGAAUAUUGCACAAUGGGCGCAAGCCUGAUGCAGCGACGCCGCGUGCGGGAUGACGGCCUUCGGGUUGUAAACCGCUUUUGAUCGGGAGCAAGCCUUCGGGUGAGUGUACCUUUCGAAUAAGCACCGGCUAACUACGUGCCAGCAGCCGCGGUAAUACGUAGGGUGCAAGCGUUAUCCGGAAUUAUUGGGCGUAAAGGGCUCGUAGGCGGUUCGUCGCGUCCGGUGUGAAAGUCCAUCGCUUAACGGUGGAUCUGCGCCGGGUACGGGCGGGCUGGAGUGCGGUAGGGGAGACUGGAAUUCCCGGUGUAACGGUGGAAUGUGUAGAUAUCGGGAAGAACACCAAUGGCGAAGGCAGGUCUCUGGGCCGUUACUGACGCUGAGGAGCGAAAGCGUGGGGAGCGAACAGGAUUAGAUACCCUGGUAGUCCACGCCGUAAACGAUGAGUGCUAGGUGUUGGAUCCUUUCCGGGAUUCAGUGCCGCAGCUAACGCAUUAAGCACUCCGCCUGGGGAGUACGACCGCAAGGUUGAAACUCAAAGGAAUUGACGGGGGCCCGCACAAGCAGUGGAGUAUGUGGUUUAAUUCGAAGCAACGCGAAGAACCUUACCAGGUCUUGACAUCCGACUAACGAGAUAGAGAUAUGUCAGGUGCCCUUCGGGGAAAGUCGAGACAGGUGGUGCAUGGUUGUCGUCAGCUCGUGUCGUGAGAUGUUGGGUUAAGUCCCGCAACGAGCGCAACCCUCGCCCUGUGUUGCCAGCACGUCAUGGUGGGAACUCACGGGGGACCGCCGGGGUCAACUCGGAGGAAGGUGGGGAUGACGUCAGAUCAUCAUGCCCCUUACGUCCAGGGCUUCACGCAUGCUACAAUGGCCGGUACAACGGGAUGCGACAUGGCGACAUGGAGCGGAUCCCUGAAAACCGGUCUCAGUUCGGAUUGGAGUCUGCAACCCGACUCCAUGAAGGCGGAGUCGCUAGUAAUCGCGGAUCAGCAACGCCGCGGUGAAUGCGUUCCCGGGCCUUGUACACACCGCCCGUCAAGUCAUGAAAGUGGGUAGCACCCGAAGCCGGUGGCCUAACCCCUUGUGGGAUGGAGCCGUCUAAGGUGAGACUCGUGAUUGGGACUAAGUCGUAACAAGGUAGCCGUACCGGAAGGUGCGGCUG